AUUGAACGCUGGCGGCAGGCCUAACACAUGCAAGUCGAACGAGUGGCGGACGGGUGAGUAAUGUCUGGGAAACUGCCUGAUGGAGGGGGAUAACUACUGGAAACGGUAGCUAAUACCGCAUACCAUCGGAUGUGCCCAGAUGGGAUUAGCUAGUAGGUGGGGUAAAGGCUCACCUAGGCGACGAUCCCUAGCUGGUCUGAGAGGAUGACCAGCCAAAAUGGAACCGAGACACGGUCCAGGCUCCCAAGGGGGGGAGGAGUGGGGAAUAAUGGACAAUGGGCGCAAGCCUGAUGCAGCCAAGCCCGGUGUAAGAAGAAGGCCUUUGGGUUUGAAAGUACUUUUAGCGGGGAGGCGUUACCCGCAGAAGAAGCACCGGCUAACUCCGUGCCAGCCGCCGCGGUAAUUC
rnacentral:rRNA from 1 species